UGGGGAAUCUUGCGCAAUGGGCGAAAGCCUGACGCAGCAACGCCGCGUGAGGGACGAAGGCCUUCGGGUUGUAAACCUCUUUCAGCAGGGAUGAAGCGAAAGUGACAGUACCUGCAGAAGAAGCACCGGCUAACUACGUGCCAGCAGCCGCGGUAAUACGUAGGGUGCAAGCGUUGUCCGGAAUUAUUGGGCGUAAAGAGCUCGUAGGCGGUCUGUCGCGUCGGAUGUGAAAACUCGGAGCUUAACUCCGAGCCUGCAUUCGAUACGGGCAGACUAGAGUUCGGUAGGGGAGACUGGAAUUCCUGGUGUAGCGGUGGAAUGCGCAGAUAUCAGGAGGAACACCGGUGGCGAAGGCGGGUCUCUGGGCCGAUACUGACGCUGAGGAGCGAAAGCGUGGGGAGCGAACAGG
rnacentral:rRNA from 1 species